AAUAUUGGACAAUGGGGGAAACCCUGAUCCAGCCAUCCCGCGUGUAUGAUGAAGGCAUUCAGGUUGUAAUGUACUUUUGGCAGAUAAGAAAUUGUAUCUCCUAAUACGAGAUACUGCUGACGGUAUCUGCAGAAUAAGCACCUGCUAACUACGUGCCGGCAGCCGCGGUAAUACGUAGGGUGCAAGCGUUAAUCGGAAUUACUGGGCGUAAAGCGUGUGUAGGCGGUUCGGAAAGAAAGAUGUGAUAUCCCAGGGCUGAACCUUGGAACUGCAUUCUUAACUGCCGAGCUAGAGUAUGUCAGAGGGGGGUAGAAUUCCACGUGUAGCAGUGAAAUGCGUAAAUAUGUGGAGGAAUACCGAUGGCGAAGGCAGCCCCCUGGGAUAAUACUGACGCUCAGACACGAAAGCGUGGGGAGCAAACA
rnacentral:rRNA from 1 species